CCUACGGGAGGCAGCAGUGGGGGAUAUUGCACAAUGGGGGGAACCCUGAUGCAGCGACGCCGCGUGGGUGAAGAAGCGCCUCGGCGCGUAAAGCCCUGUCAGCAGGGAAGAAAAUGACGGUACCUGAAGAAGAAGCCCCGGCGAACGACGGGCCAGCAGCCGCGGUAAUACGUAGGGGGCACGCGUGAUCCGGAUUUACUGGGUGUAAAGGGGGCGCAGACGGCGAUGCAAGCCAGGGGUGAAAGCCCGGGGCGCAACCCCGGGACUGCUCUUGGAACUGCGUGGCUGGGGUGCAGGAGGGGCAGGCGGAAUUCCUGGUGUAGCGGUGAAAUGCGUGGAUAUCAGGAGGAACACCGGUGG
rnacentral:rRNA from 1 species